rfam:Oryza glumipatula chromosome 1, whole genome shotgun sequence.
AACAAGUUAAUCUAGGUUUUCGUGUCCAACUUUGACUGUCCGUCUUAUAUAGAAUUUUUUUAUAAUUCAUAUUUUCAUUGUUGUUAGAUGAUAAAACAUGAUUAAUAUUUUAUGUGUGACUUGUCUUUUUAAUUUUUUUUCAUAAUUUUCUUAAAUAAGACGGACGGUCAAACGUUGGACACGGAAACCAGGGUUUGUCUUUUU